AUGAAUGAUUCUUCUGGCUAUGUUUCUGACCAGGAUGUCUCUUUGUUUGCAGGUGUCCAGGUUGAGGUGCAACUGAUCGAGUCUGGGGGAGGCUUGGUACAGCCUGGGGAGUCCCUGAGACUCUCCUGUGAGGGCUCUGGAUUCACCUUUAGUAGCUAUACCAUGGAUUCAGUCCACCAGGGUCCAGGGAAGGGGCUGGAGUGGGUCUCAGUUAUUAGCAGUGGUGGUACCGUACACUACGCAGACUCUGUGAAGGGCCGAUUCACCAUCUCCAGAGACAAUGCCAAGAACUCACUGUAUCUGCAAAUGAACAGCCUGAGAGCCGAGGACACGGCUGUGUAUUACUGUGUGAGAGGCACAGUGAGGGAAAGUCAGUGUGAGCCUAGACACAAACCUUCCUGCAGGGGUCCCCGGGACCACCAGGGGGCGCGCGGGACGCUGUGCACGGGGCUGUUUCUAGGGCAGGUGCAGAUGCUGCUAAGGGCUGGCUUCCUGUCAUGAUCUGGGGCUGCCUCAUUGUCAAAUUUCCCCAGGGAACUUCCCAGAUUUACAGUUCUGUACUAACAUUUGAUAUCUCUAAAUGCAGACCUUUUUUGU